AUGGCUCAGGAUGAACGCUAGCGGCAGGCUUAACACAUGCAAGUCGAGGGGCAGCGCGAGUAGCAAUACUUGGCGGCGACCGGCGCAAGGGUGCGUAACGCGUGAGCAACAUGCCCGUAUCAGGGGGAUAAUCCAGGGAAACUUGGUCUAAUACCCCAUAGUAAUUUUGUAAGGCAUCUUAUAUGAUUUAAAGCUUUGGUGGAUACGGAUUGGCUCGCGUGACAUUAGCUGGAUGGUAAGGUAACGGCUUACCAUGGCUAUGAUGUCUAGGGGUUCUGAGAGGAAGGUCCCCCACACUGGAACUGAGACACGGUCCAGACUCCUACGGGAGGCAGCAGUGAGGAAUAUUGGACAAUGGAUGGAAAUCUGAUCCAGCCAUGCCGCGUGAAGGAAAGAAGGUCCUAUGGAUUGUAAACUUCUUUUGUAUGGGAGCAAUAAGGCCUACGAGUAGGUUGAUGAGAGUACCAUACGAAUAAGCACCGGCUAACUCCGUGCCAGCAGCAGC
rnacentral:rRNA from 1 species